UACGUAGGUGGCGAGCGUUGUCCGGAUUUACUGGGCGUAAAGGGAGCGUAGGCGGGCUUUUAAGUGAGAUGUGAAAUACUCGGGCUCAACUUGAGUGCUGCAUUUCAAACUGGAAGUCUAGAGUGCAGGAGAGGAGAAUGGAAUUCCUAGUGUAGCGGUGAAAUGCGUAGAGAUUAGGAAGAACACCAGUGGCGAAGGCGAUUCUCUGGACUGUAACUGACGCUGAGGCUCGAAAGCGUGGGGAGCAAACAGG
rnacentral:rRNA from 1 species